rnacentral:ncRNA from 1 species
UUUAAAUCAUUGAUGGGGAGAGUAUCCUAGAACCCUAUCGUGCCAGAGAGGGAAUGCCAAAGGCUGAAAGCAUUUCUCGCGAUCGUAUAGGAGAAGACCACCCUUGAGUGUUGGGCUGAAAUAAGUAAGCUUAGCCGUUUCCCGCGUUAAGGGAUCGAGCGAAAGGGUCUAAAUGAGCCUUUUCAAUUGGGUGGAACCACGGGAGUAAACUCUCGUCCCUACU